rnacentral:rRNA from 1 species
CGUCUAGAGAGAGAAGUAGUGCCCGUACCGCAAACCGACACAGGUAGGUGAGGAGAGAAUCCUAAGGCCGGCGGAAGAAUUACAGUUAAGGAACUCGGCAAAUUGACCCCGUAAGUUCGCGAGAAGGGGUGCCUACGAGAGUAGGCCGCAGAGAAUAGGCCCAAGCAACUGUUUAGCAAAAACACAGGUCUCUGCUAAAGCGUAAGCUGAUGUAUAGGGGCUGACGCCUGCCCGGUGCUGGAAGGUUAAGGGGAACACUUAGCGCAAGCGAAGGUGUGAACUUAAGCCCCAGUAAACGGCGGCCGUAACUAUAACGGUCCUAAGGUAGCGAAAUUCCUUGUCAGGUAAGUUCUGACCCGCACGAAUGGCGUAAUGACUUGGGCACUGUCUCAACUGUAAAUCCGGCGAAGUUGUAGUGCGAGUGAAGAUGCUCGCUACCCGCGAUUGGACGGAAAGACCCCGUAGAGCUUUACUGUAGCUUAGCAUUGAGUUUUGGUAUUGUCUGUACAGGAUAGGUGGGAGACUAGGAAACCAGGGCGUCAGCCUUGGUGGAGUCAACCUUGGGAUACCACCCUGACAGUACUGAAAUUCUAACUGGCGGCCAUGAAUCUGGUCACAGGACAUUGUUAGGUGGGCAGUUUGACUGGGGCGGUCGCCUCCUAAAAAGUAACGGAGGCGCCCAAAGGUUCCCUCAGAACGGUCGGAAAUCGUUCGAAGAGUGCAAAGGCAGAAGGGAGCCUGACUGCGACACCCACAAGUGGAGCAGGGACGAAAGUCGGGCUUAGUGAUCCGGUGGUACCUCGUGGGAGGGCCAUCGCUCAACGGAUAAAAGCUACCUCGGGGAUAACAGGCUGAUCUCCCCCAAGAGUCCACAUCGACGGGGAGGUUUGGCACCUCGAUGUCGGCUCGUCGCAUCCUGGGGCUGAAGUAGGUCCCAAGGGUUGGGCUGUUCGCCCAUUAAAGCGGCACGCGAGCUGGGUUCAGAACGUCGUGAGACAGUUCGGUCCCUAUCCGUCGCGGGCGUAGGAAAUUUGAGAGGAGCUGUCCUUAGUACGAGAGGACCGGGAUGGACUGACCUCUGGUGUACCAGUUGUUCCGCCAGGAGCACAGCUGGGUAGCUAAGUCGGGAAUGGAUAAACGCUGAAAGCAUCUAAGCGUGAAGCCAACCUCAAGAUGAGAUUUCCCAUAGCGUAAGCUAGUAAGAUCCCUUGAAGAACACAAGGUUGAUAGGUCGGGGGUGUAAGCAUGGUAACAUGUUCAGCUGACCGAUACUAAUAGAUCGAGGGCUUGACCA